rnacentral:rRNA from 1 species
GACGAACGCUGGCGGCGUGCUUAACACAUGCAAGUCGAACGGGCCUGUCUUCUUUUUUGGGGGGUGGGUUGAGUGGCGAACGGGUGAGUAUCACGUGAGUAACCUGCCCUUCGGUCCUGGAUAACCGCUUGAAAGGGCGGCUAAUACGGGGUGGUCCGGUUGGUCCGCAUGGGCUGGUCGGGAUAGAUUCACUGUUUUUGGUGUUUCGGCGGGGGAUGGGCUCGCGGCCUAUCAGCUUGUUGGUGGGGUGAUGGCCUACCAAGGCGGUGACAGGUAGCCGGCCUGAGAGGGUGGGCGGCCACACUGGGACUGAGAUACGGCCCAGACUCCUGCGGGAGGCAGCAGUGGGGGGUAUUGCACAAUGGGCGGAAGCCUGAUGCAGCGACGUCGCGUGAGGGAUGGAGGCCUUCGGGUUGUGAACCUCUGUUUCCGGUGGUGAAGGCCCUGUCCGUGUGGUGGGGUUGACGGUAGCCGGGGAUGAAGCGCCGGCUAACUACGUG